GCCCCUACUGCAGUGUCUCGGCGCCGCACGCCCGUACCGGCCUCAGUCUUGCUGAAUUGAGCGGGCCCAGCCUGCGGCGGCAACAGCGGCUCUCGGACCGACCGUGAGCCUGGGGACUUUGUCUCCAACGACUGCGGGUGCAGCGGCCUGAGUUCUAAACGCAGGUUGAAGACUACAGGUACAAGCCAAUGAAGCUGGAAUGCCCUGACACUGGUAUUUUAACUGACUUACACCAACUAUCACUCUGCAGUUUACAACACACAAGUGCCUCUAGUGAGGUCAACUAUUCUCACAUAACUUGUAGCAACCACGUAUCUGCACUGGCUUAGGAGUUUAGGGCAGUGGGAUAGUGCUGGUGGUUUAAUUCUCACAACUCUGUGAAGUGGAUACUGUAAAAUUACAGAUGAAGCAGUAGUUCGGGUAGUGAAUUGAGGUACCAUCACAUAUGCAUAGCCCUGAACAAGGAGCCUCAUAUGUACCUUUUUGGCUAUGUAAACUAUGAAAAGUCACUUCUCUCUUUUGAGAUUUAGUGUCCUGGUUAAACGGUAGAAGUAUUCAGAUGAGGAUUAGGUCAGUUGGAGGGGGUGGGGGAGUGUUAAGGACCAGAGACUUAUUGUUGGGAAUAUAAGCUCUUUAUAGUAUAUAAUUACAUUGAACCUAAAAGAAGUCAAAAUUUGGCACAAAAGGAGCAUCCAUCAGCAUGUUAAAUGCUUCUGAUGAAUGUAGCAUAAUGAGCUGUAAAAAGGAAUUUAAAGGACGCAAUGAUGCUAGAUAGUUAGAAUUUGAAAGUAUUGGAGGUGAUGGGAAAGUUUUCAUAUGAGAAGAAAUGUGUCAGUGUAGCAAGGUUAACAGCCCAGUGUGUGCUAGGAGUUCUUCCUGUUGAUCAGCUCUGAAUGUUUACAAAUACCUCAUUUUCCAGAAGUCUUAAACGUAUUCACUUUGGGUUCAUUUUUAAUGCUUAUUUCAAAAUAUUGUAUUAGCCUCUGUUUAAACUUCAUUUCUUGUUAUAUUCCAUAUUAUUCUGUAAAAUCUAGCUUCCUAAUAUAGGAAAUUUAUGGAACAAAUGUUAGCGUAAUUGCUAGAGGGAAAACAAGGUAAGGGAAACAGGAAGGGCGUAUAUAUGCACUGUGAGUGGAGGACAUGAUAAUUUCAGAUAGAGCUGGUCGGAGAAUGACUUAACAGAAGACCUGAAAGAGCUGCGGGAGAUAACAUGGUUAUAUAUAGUUGAUCCUUGAGCAACAUGGGUUUGAACUUCAUGGGUCCACUCAUACACAGAUAUUUUUCAAUAGUAAGUACUACAGUACUACAUGGUCCAUGGAGGGCCAUCUAUAAAUUAUUCAGAUUAACCCUUGCGUUGUGCAAAGGUCAACUGUAUAUAUUUGGGUGAAGAGCAUUUCAGGCAGAGGAAAAGUAGGUGCAAAGGCCCUGGGGAGGGAUGUGUUUAAAGGUUUGGGGGGAAAGUAAGGUGAAGAUGCAGAGAAGUGACCGUAUGGGAGGAUUUGACAACAGUUUGUGUGCAGGGCUAAGGUGGAUAUUUUAGACCAUUCUAAGAUGGCAGCUUGCUUUCUGGCCUCUCAGGCCUCUGAAUGCUGUAACUUAACCUAGAAUGCACCCAUACACUUUCCCACGUUUCUAUAAACACUAUCUUUCCUCCCAAGUGCUCUUGUUAUGGAUUUCUGUAGCACCCUGUAAUGGCCUUAGCAUACUUGGAAGCACGUUUUGUAGUUGCUUGUGAGCUUGCCUAAUUGCCCCUGCCCAUAAAGUCCCUCUUGGUUCCCACUAUAUUCCUGGGGUCUAACCAAGUGCCUGGCAUACUAUAGGUUCUCAGAUAUUUAACUUGAGCCCAUAACCCAUGAUUAUAGUACAAGGAGCAGUAUCAUUUAUAAUUAAAUUUAGUACUAUCAUUAAUUGUGUUGGAAUGAAUUAUAAAUUGCAUUCAAGUGGGUGGCUUACUUAGGAGUGGCACAAUAACAGCCUAGAUUCAGAUCCCCACCCUAUAUGAUCUUAGACCAGUUACUUCUUCAGUUUCUUUAUCUGUAAGUUGAUAAUAAUGACAGUUACUAAAAAAAAACCCUGGUGAGUAGUAAGCACUUAAUAGUGCUAUAGGGCCAUUUUGACAAUACCGUAUGAUCAUUGUAAUAUUGAAUGAAAAUGAAAAUACUGAUAUUUGAUAUUUAUAUGGUACUAAAAUGCUGGCUUUAAUGUUCAUAAAAAAUGAUAAGAGUACCUACUAGGGCCAGGUACUAUUCUAGGUGAACACACGCAUGAACAAAGCAGACCAGUGGAUGUGAUUGCGACUGGUCCAUUGACGGGAGGCCUCCAGUGUAAAGGCUUGUGAUGCUUUCUUAAUUGAGUGCUGUGACUAGUUAGCAGUGUGCUGGCGGAGAGGGUAUUCGGUAGGCUAAAAGCCUAGAUGAGGUGACUUCAAAUGCUAACUACAAAAGUCUGAAGGCUCUAGCAAAGAUCCCAAGGAUAACCACUGGUUUCACAAAUGGCUCCACUCCACUGAGUCCUGGUGUUGGUUCUUUGCCCCUUGAGGAGUUACUUGGGCUGGGUAGACAGGUGGAGACCCUGGGUCUGCCACAGAUCCUCUCUCUCCCACUAACCAACUUCAGCCAGUUACAGUCUUGUUCAUACUUUGGUUUCCCAAAAUUUUUUUUUUUUUUUUUUAAAGUAACAAGGAUUUUGGCUAAAAAGCUUGAAGUCCACUAGACUAAACAAUAGCAGGUGAAAGAUGUGAGCAGUUUUAUAGCCAGGGGGUAAAACUUUGGAGGAAAGACAGAACAACUUUUUAGUUGCUUCGGAGUCCAGAGUUUAGAACUAUAGAAACACUAGAACUGCACUGCCCAGUAGGACAGCUCUUAGUCACACGUGGCUAUUUAAGUCAAAACUAAAAUUAAAAAAUCAGGCCCCCAGUUGCAUUAGCGCCGUUUCAAGUGCUCAGUAGCCCCACCUGUGGCUAGGGGCUACUGUACUGGACAGCAGAUACAGGACAUUUCCAUUGCUGCAGAAAGUUUAUUGGCAGUACUGUUCUAGAGGUGAUAUGGUGAAGACAGAAGGAAAACCUAGAGAGAUGGUGUAGUAGGCUAAUGGCCCCAAAGAGAUCAGGUUCUCGAACCUGUAAAUGUUACCGUAUUUGAAAGAGGGUCACUGCAGAUGUGAUUAGGUUAAGGGUCUUGAGAUGGGGAAACUAUCCUGGAUCACCUCUGUGGGCCCUAAAUCCAAUCACAAGUGCCUUUAUAAGAGGCAGGCAGGAGAUUCCGUGAACAGAGGAGGAGGCCAUGUGAAGAAGCAGAUUUAAUGUUGGCCUUGAGAUUGGAGUGAUGCAGCUUCUAGCUGAGGGACGUUGGCAGCCACCAGACGCUGGGAGGUGUGAGGAACAUGCUGAUUCCCAGCCCCCCAGAGCCUCCCGGGGGAGCAUACGCUUGAUUUGAUCCAGUGGAGUUUACUUCUGACUUCUGGCCUACAGAACUGUGAGAGAAUAAAUUUCUGUUGUUUCAGUAAGCUACCAAGUUUGCAGUAAUCUGUUACAGGAGCCUUAGGUAUCCAAUACUGAUGGAAAGCUUAAGAUCACAAAUACAGCCAGAGCUGGAACCUCACCACACCACCUCCUACACUGUGUUUUCACUAAUACCUUACUGGUGGGUAGGUGAGGGUAGAUCUUAACUAUUAGUCAAUUUAAAAAUUUUCAGAGGUAUGGUAAUUAAGUUAAAAUUUAUUUAGAUUUGAAUCACAAGAGAUAUCAGCAUGUGGCUAAAAUAUGGAGGAUUAGCAAAUACUUCAUAAUAAAAUACAGAUUAUCAAAACAAAUAUAAGAAAUCAAUGUAUGAUUUAUUGGACUGUCAUUUAUGUAUACUUUUAAUAAAUUUCAUUACACAGUACAAAACACCAUCCAAGUUGUAAAAAU